AACUUUUGGCAAUGGAUCUCUUGGCUUUCGCAUCGUUGAAGAACGCUGCGAAAGCGCGAAACGUAAUUUGAAUUGCAGAAUUCAGUGAAUCAUCGAAUCUUUGAACGCAUCUUGCGCUCCUUGGUAUUCCGAGGAGCAUGCCUGUUUGAGAGUCGUGACUACCUCAAUUUGUUACUUUUGUAAUGAAAUUGGACUUGGGUGUUGCUGUGUACGGCUCACCUUAAAUACAUUAGUGAUGAGUUCUGAUCAACAUCAAUACAUCAUAAGCAUUUGUUGUGUUGAGGGUCAGACCAUGGCUUCUAACACUUAUGACAUUUGACCUCAAAUCAGGCAGGACUACCCGCUGAACUUAAGCCAGAUCAAUAAGCGGAGGCU
rnacentral:misc_RNA from 2 species